UACGUAGGUGGCAAGCGUUGUCCGGAUUUAUUGGGUUUAAAGCGUGCGCAGGCGGUUUUGUAAGCCAGAUGUGAAAGCCCCGGGCUUAACCUGGGAAUGGCAUUUGGGACUGCAAGGCUUGAGUGCGGCAGAGGAGACUGGAAUUCCUGGUGUAGCAGUGAAAUGCGUAGAUAUCAGGAGGAAUACCGAUGGCGAAGGCAGGUCUCUGGGCUGACACUGACGCUCAUGCACGAAAGCGUGGGGAGCAAACAGG
rnacentral:rRNA from 1 species